AGUGAACGCUGGCGGCAGGCCUAACACAUGCAAGUCGAACGGUAGCACAGAGGAGCUUGCUCCUUGGGUGACGAGUGGCGGACGGGUGAGGAAUAUAUCGGAAUCUACCCAAUCGUGGGGGAUAACGUAGGGAAACUUACGCUAAUACCGCAUACGAUCUGAGGAUGAAAGCGGCGGACCGCAAGGCGUCGCGCGAUUGGAUGAGCCGAUAUCCGAUUAGGUAGUUGGUGGGGUAAAGGCUCACCAAGCCAACGAUCUGUAGCUGGUCUGAGAGGACGACCAGCCACACUGGAACUGAGACACGGUCCAGACUCCUACGGGAGGCAGCAGUGGGGAAUUUUGGACAAUGGACGCAAGUCUGAUCCAGCCAUUCCGCGUGCAGGAUGAAGGCCCUCGGGUUGUAAACUGCUUUUGUACGGAGCGAAAAGGUUCUGGCUAAUACCUAGGGCUCAUGACGGUACCGUAAGAAUAAGCACCGGCUAACUACGUGCCAG
rnacentral:rRNA from 1 species